GACGGAGGAUGCAAGUGUUAUCCGGAAUCACUGGGCGUAAAGCGUCUGUAGGUGGUUUAAUAAGUCAACUGUUAAAUCUUGAGGCUCAACCUCAAAAUCGCAGUCGAAACUAUUAGGCUAGAGUAUAGUAGGGGUAAAGGGAAUUUCCAGUGGAGCGGUGGAAUGCGUAGAGAUCCGGAAGAACACCGGUGGCGAAGGCGGCCCGCUGGGCUGUUGCUGACGCUGAGGCGCGACAGCGUGGGGAGCAAACAGG
rnacentral:rRNA from 1 species